UACGGGGGGGGCAAGCGUUGUUCGGAAUUACUGGGCGUAAAGGGCUCGUAGGUGGCCAACUAAGUCAGACGUGAAAUCCCUCGGCUUAACCGGGGAACUGCGUCUGAUACUGGAUGGCUUGAGUUUGGGAGAGGGAUGCGGAAUUCCAGGUGUAGCGGUGAAAUGCGUAGAUAUCUGGAGGAACACCGGUGGCGAAGGCGGCAUCCUGGACCAAUAUUGACGCUGAGACGCGAAAGCGUAGGGAGCGAACAGG
rnacentral:rRNA from 1 species